GUGGGGAAUAUUGGACAAUGGGCGAAAGCCUGAUCCAGCCAUGCCGCGUGUGUGAAGAAGGUCUUCGGAUUGUAAAGCACUUUAAGUUGGGGGGAAGGGCAGUAAGUUAAUACCUUGCUGUUUUGACGUUACCGACAGAAUAAGCACCGGCUAACUUCGUGCCAGCAGCCGCGGUAAUACGAAGGGUGCAAGCGUUAAUCGGAAUUACUGGGCGUAAAGCGCGCGUAGGUGGUUUUGUAAGUUGGAGGUGAAAUCCCCGGGCUCAACCUGGGAACUGCCUCCAGAACUGCAUGACUAGAGUACGGUAGAGGGUAGUGGAAUUUCCUGUGUAGCGGUGAAAUGCGUAGAUAUAGGAAGGAACACCAGUGGCGAAGGCGACUACCUGGACUGAUACUGACACUGAGGUGCGAAAGCGUGGGGAGCAAACAGGAUUAGAUACCCCUGUAGUCC
rnacentral:rRNA from 1 species